UACAGUACCUCGUAAGCUAUAUUACGGUCUAUCAUCGUAAUUAUUUUUGUUAACAUCUUAUUUUAUGAAUGUAGUGAGAGAUAUAAAAUAUCAAGUGACAAAAUCGAUGAAUGGCUAAGGGGAAACGUUGAUAAAUCUGCUGCGGAGGGGGAGAACCUAGCUGACCUGCGAUCGACAGAAGGUCGCUAUGUGUCCUCUGAAACACUACCGGCUGUGAACUUGGGAAGUGAUGAUCCUUCCUCUCAAGGACGCACAGAACAGAGUAGCGUAAACCAACCAUCAUAGAGCAU